rnacentral:rRNA from 1 species
GAUGAACGCUGGCGGCGUGCCUAAUACAUGCAAGUCGAGCGAACAGACGAGGAGCUCGCUCCUCUGACGUUAGCGGCGGACGGGUGAGUAACACGUGGAUAACCUACCUAUAAGACUGGGAUAACUUCGGGAAACCGGAGCUAAUACCGGAUAACAUGUUGAACCGCAUGGUUCAACAGUGAAAGACGGUUUUGCUGUCACUUAUAGAUGGAUCCGCGCCGCAUUAGCUAGUUGGUAAGGUAACGGCUUACCAAGGCAACGAUGCGUAGCCGACCUGAGAGGGUGAUCGGCCACACUGGAACUGAGACACGGUCCAGACUCCUACGGGAGGCAGCAGUAGGGAAUCUUCCGCAAUGGGCGAAAGCCUGACGGAGCAACGCCGCGUGAGUGAAGAAGGUCUUCGGAUCGUAAAACUCUGUUAUUAGGGAAGAACAAAUGUGUAAGUAACUAUGCACGUCUUGACGGUACCUAAUCAGAAAGCCACGGCUAACUACGUG